CGUGCAUGAGCGUCAGUGCAGGCCCAGGGGAUUGCCUUCGCCAUCGGUGUUCCUCCGCAUAUCUACGCAUUUCACUGCUACACGCGGAAUUCCAUCCCCCUCUGCCGCACUCUAGCCUUGCAGUCACAAUGGCAGUUCCCAGGUUGAGCCCGGGGAUUUCACCACUGUCUUACAAAACCGCCUGCGCACGCUUUACGCCCAGUAAUUCCGAUUAACGCUUGCACCCUACGUAUUACCGCGGCUGCUGGCACGUAGUUAGCCGGUGCUUAUUCUUACGGUACCGUCAUGACCCGGGGAUAUUAGCCCCAGGCUUUUCGUUCCGUACAAAAGCAGUUUACAACCCGAGGG
rnacentral:rRNA from 1 species